ACAACCUAUUCACAAAUACCGUGGUAUUGGCUAAAGUGAGUUGCACUUGCAGUACUAGUCUCACCUAGCCGAAAUAUAUAGGCCAGAAAAGCAGACCAUGGCAACAGACUCACAGAGUGUUAUACAAUGCUAAACUAGUCUGAAGUGGGUUGAAAUCCGUGUCACUGGACCCCCCGUUCAUCAAAACCAUAGA
rnacentral:misc_RNA from 1 species